CGUACACUCCUGCGGGAGGCAGCAGUGGGGAAUAUUGGACAAUGGGCGCAAGCCUGAUCCAGCCAUGCCGCGUGAGUGAUGAAGGCCCUAGGGUUGUAAAGCUCUUUCACCGGUGAAGAUAAUGACGGUAACCGGAGAAGAAGCCCCGGCUAACUUCGUGCCAGCAGCCGCGGUAAUACGAAGGGGGCUAGCGUUGUUCGGAUUUACUGGGCGUAAAGCGCACGUAGGCGGACUAUUAAGUCAGGGGUGAAAUCCCGGGGCUCAACCCCGGAACUGCCUUUGAUACUGGUAGUCUGGAGUUCGAGAGAGGUGAGUGGAAUUCCGAGUGUAGAGGUGAAAUUCGUAGAUAUUCGGAGGAACACCAGUGGCGAAGGCGGCUCACUGGCUCGAUACUGACGCUGAGGUGCGAAAGCGUGGGGAGCAAACAGGAUUAGAUACCCCGGUAGUCCCA
rnacentral:rRNA from 1 species